CGGACGGGUGAGUAACGCGUGAGAAUCUAGCUUCAGGUCGGGGACAACCACUGGAAACGGUGGCUAAUACCGGAUAUGCCGAGAGGUGAAAGGCUUGCUGCCUGAAGAUGAGCUCGCGUCUGAUUAGCUAGUAGGUGUGGUAAAGGCGCACCUAGGCGACGAUCAGUAGCUGGUCUGAGAGGAUGAUCAGCCACACUGGGACUGAGACACGGCCCAGACUCCUACGGGAGGCAGCAGUGGGGAAUUUUCCGCAAUGGGCGAAAGCCUGACGGAGCAAUACCGCGUGAGGGAGGAAGGCUCUUGGGUUGUAAACCUCUUUUCUCAGGGAAGAAAAAAAUGACGGUACCUGAGGAAUAAGCAUCGGCUAACUCCGUGCCAGCAGCCGCGGUAAUACGGAGGAUGCAAGCGUUAUCCGGAAUGAUUGGGCGUAAAGGGUCCGCAGGUGGCUAUGUAAGUCUGCUGUUAAAGAACCUAGCUUAACAAGGUAAAAGCAGUGGAAACUACAAGGCUAGAGUGCGUUCGGGGUAGAGGGAAUUCCUGGUGUAGCGGUGAAAUGCGUAGAUAUCAGGAAGAACACCAGUGGCGAAGGCGCUCUACUAGGCCGCAACUGACACUGAGGGACGAAAGCUAGGGGAGCGAAUGGGAUUAGAUACCCCAGUAGUC
rnacentral:rRNA from 1 species